rnacentral:rRNA from 1 species
AGCGAACGCUGGCGGCAGGCCUAACACAUGCAAGUCGAACGGAACCUUCGGGGUUUGUUGCGGUCGUGUGGUUACCACGUGGUAACUUGCCUUUAGGUUCGGUAUACCUCCUUGAAACGUGUGUUAAUGCCGCAUGUGCUCUUCGCGGGUAAGAUUUAUCGCGUUUUGGUCGGCGCGCGUCUGAUUCGCUGGUUGGUGAGGUACCGGCUCACCAAGGCGAGGAUCAGUAGCUGGUCUGAGAGGAUGACCAGCCACACUGGGACUGAGACACGGCCCAGAAUCCGACGGGAGGGAGGAGUGGGGAAUAGAGCGCAAGGGGCGAAAGUCUGACGAAGCCAUGCCGGGUGAAUGAUGAAGGGCGUAGGAUUGUAAAAUUCUUUGAGAGGGGACGAGAAUGACGGUACCGGGAGAAGAAGCACCGGCUAACUUCGUG